ensembl:lncRNA
UUCACUUUGAAAAAAAAAAGAAGCUCUAUGAAGACAAACAUCAUAGUUCUAUGAUGGUCCAAGCAAAAUAGCCAACGAAGAGUAAGUCUUUGCCUGAGUCUCACUUAUACACUGUACUUUUGACACUCUUGAAGACGCCCUAUACAUCUUUAGAUCACAACAUUCAUUUGACAUGACACAGUUUACUCUCUCACACAGCUAUCAAGUGUGGCACGUACAUUAGACCAAGAGGAACAGGAAGCAUGCCAUGCAUCAAGACGGCCUCCUAAGAAUAAGCAAUGAAAAUUGCAUGAAAGGUCAGAUGGGGGAGCAGUUGGAUCAUGGGCAGGAAUCAGCACAUCAAGAAUGAAACAAAACAUUCUUGUUGCAGGUCCCUGUGUCUCCUGUGUGGUUGCUGCUGAUGUGUGAAAUUCAGGUCACUUGCCAGAGCCUGGAGUAGCCAUUCCUGGUAAAGGAAGUGAAGAUGCAAGCAUGUGUUCUCUGUGGGAAGGAGUGAAUACUACUGCUACUGAUGCUGCCGUUGGUUCCUGAACAAGCCAAGCAUGGAAACAGAGUACACCUGUGUUCCUGCAUUGGCAUUUGAUCUAUGCUUUUGCUGCCAAUAGUGACCCUAAUUUAUUUUUAUGGAAGUUUUGUUGUCAAAGUAAAUCUUUCAGAAGUGCUUUGGUUUUCAGUCCUGUG